AUUGAACGCUGGCGGCAGGCCUAACACAUGCAAGUCGAACGAGUGGCGGACGGGUGAGUAAUGUCUGGGAAACUGCCCGAUGGAGGGGGAUAACUACUGGAAACGGUAGCUAAUACCGCAUACCAUCGGAUGUGCCCAGAUGGGAUUAGCUUGUAGGUGAGGUAACGGCUCACCUAGGCGACGAUCCCUAGCUGGUCUGAGAGGAUGAACAGCAACACUGGAACUGAUACACGGUCCAGACGCCUCCGGGAGGGAGCAGUGGUGAAUUGUGAACAAGGGGCGCAGGCCGUAUGCAGCCAUGGCGCGUGUAUGAAGAAGGCCGUCGGUUUGUAAAUUACUUUCAGCGGGGAGGCGUUACCCGCAGCAGAAGCACCGGCUAACUCCGUGCCAGCAGCCGCGGUAAUUC
rnacentral:rRNA from 1 species